rnacentral:lncRNA from 1 species
UCUCAGUGGGAAGACACUAGCAUUAAGCCAGAAAGGCUUCUUGCAGAAGAAGGUCAACAGAUGGCUGCUGUUAAAAUCCUGUGACCUCUGACCCUAAGAGUCCUGUGACAUCUGGUGCAGGGGGACCCAAGAGAAAAAGGGGACCAAUGACAUCACAGGCAAAUGUCUUGACUUGAACAUGAAUUGGAUUUAAGAGAGGCCAAUUUGCACAAAUCAUCAAUCUCACACUCUUCUAGAGACAUGGAAGUCCAAUGGCAAGACAA